ACGCUCGACACCUACGGAGGCAGCAGUGGGGAAUAUUGCACAAUGGGGGAAACCCUGAUGCAGCGACGCCGCGUGAGCGAAGAAGUAUUUCGGUAUGUAAAGCUCUAUCAGCAGGGAAGAAAAUGACGGUACCUGACUAAGAAGCACCGGCUAAAUACGUGCCGGCAGCCGCGGUAAUCUGAGCGGCUGGCAAGGC
rnacentral:rRNA from 1 species